AUGAGCGAAUCAAGCUCUCCACCACGGAAAAAAGGGCCAAAACAGGACAGAGCUACAUGGAAUAAUGGUCGCACUGGUUUUUUUGUGUCAAUGAUGAAAGAGUAUGCAGAUGUGGGAAGGUACCGUGGCCAAAAUGGGUGGACCAAGGAAGGAUGGCAAGCUAUGAAAAACCGCCUUCAUGAGAGGCAUCCUGGAACUAAUUUCACUGUUCAACAGCUGAAAGAUAGAGAGCAAAGGGUGAAGAAGGAACUUAAUGUUGUCAAGUCUAUUGUAGAAAAGAGUGGUUUUGGUUGGGAUCCUUGUUGGAAAUAUGCCCUAGAGGCAAUAAUAAAUUAG
rnacentral:rRNA from 1 species